ACCUAAACCUGAUGGAAGCGAUCCCGAUUUUUCAUCUGACAAACGUACAGCAGGACGAACA
rnacentral:sRNA from 1 species